rnacentral:rRNA from 1 species
GAUGAACGCUGGCGGCGUGCCUAAUACAUGCAAGUCGAGCGAACGGACGAGAAGCUUGCUUCUCUGAUGUUAGCGGCGGACGGGUGAGUAACACGUGGAUAACCUACCUAUAAGACUGGGAUAACUUCGGGAAACCGGAGCUAAUACCGGAUAAUAUUUUGAACCGCAUGGUUCAAAAGUGAAAGACGGUCUUGCUGUCACUUAUAGAUGUAUCCGGGCUGCAUUAGCUAGUUGGUAAGGUAACGGCUUACCAAGGCAACGAUGCAUAGCCGACCUGAGAGGGUGAUCGGCCACACUGGAACUGAGACACGGUCCAGACUCCUACGGGAGGCAGCAGUAGGGAAUCUUCCGCAAUGGGCGAAAGCCUGACGGAGCAACGCCGCGUGAGUGAUGAAGGUCUUCGGAUCGUAAAACUCUGUUAUUAGGGAAGAACAUAUGUGUAAGUAACUGUGGACAUCUUGACGGUACCUAAUCAGAAAGCCACGGCUAACUACGUG